rnacentral:lncRNA from 1 species
AUGUACUUAACAGACCCCGACCCCUGUCAUGGACUAACAGAUACUCCAAGUUGCCCCUAAGCACUGCUUCAGCUUUCUAUCCCUCCCGGAUCCUUGUCUGGUACUAAUUUCUCAAUUCUGUCUCCUGCUCUGGCUCUCCUUUCAUGUGGCCUUCUAGGGUGGCUCCUUUUUUGCAGUCCUCAUUUUGGUUCGCACGCUGUCCAGAUGCUGCUUCAUUAAUGGAUCUUUCCAGGUUUCUUUGAAGCUGUCCCAUAUCCUUUUACUUUAAUUCUAAUGGUCUUACCCAACUCCUCUCUGUGGUUCCUUCAUAUCUGACUCUGCAUACCAGGCCUCCUGGUCACCCUGCUCAACUGCUCUUACUGAAUUCUGCCCUACAUAGCUGGGUGAUAACAUUGCUGGAGUGCUAUUUUGCUGUGUCAUUCUUUCUCUUACAAACUUUCAGUACCUUUGCCACCUAUAGGUGAAGUUCAGAUUUCUCAGGAUGGCUUUUCAGGUCUUUCCUAAUAUUCCCACACACUGAUUAGCCAGACUUACCUCCUACUAUUUCCAAAUGCCAGUUCUGCUCCUGACAACAUGUUCUCACUGUUUCCCAGAUAUGCCCUGUCUUGUCUGUGUGCCUUUGAAUGUGUUCUCAUUUUUCUGGAAAUACCUUUCACCCAAAUUCUGUCCAUACAUUUCCCAAAGCAUAUCUUUAUUCCAUGUAUCCCCCCACCCCCAAUUCAUAGCAAGAUCUUACUAUAAAUACUUCCUACAUGGUUACUACUUUGUAUUUUUGUCUUUUGAACAAAAUUCUUAAUUCCAUUUUUGGCAAAGAGUAUGAUAUAAUAAUCCCUUUAUAUCUAUCCAGAAGCCUAAGACAUUGCUGAGUAUAAUGUGUGGACCUCUCAUAAAUGCUUUAAAAUGAAAUGUUGUGAUUUUUUUUUUGUAAGUCAUGAGAAUGACCGAUUGUCUUUUCCUUUU